rnacentral:tmRNA from 1 species
UACGCCGUUGUUCCUGCCUAAUUCGCGGGGACCAUCAGCCUGCUGAUGCCUAAUAAGCAACCGCUGGUGUCAUACAUUGGGCUUGAUUGAUAGCCUUUCUUUGCAGCUAUCUCUGACCAUUGAGCAAAGAGGGCUUUUCAAGGUUUUGUUUACUUUAUACUUGAAAAGUUUCUCAAAACAAGUAAACUAAACUUGUAGAAUAUUUUGGAAGAUAUAAAUUUGGACGGGAGUUCGAUUCUCCCCAUCUCCACCA